rnacentral:rRNA from 1 species
CAAUUGGGGGAUGGCUCGGCUCGAGCGCUGAAGAAGGUCGUGUCAAGCUGCGAUAAGCGCCGGGUAGGUGCAAGAAGCCUAUGAUCCGGUGAUUGCUGAAUAUGACUUCAUAUUCUUCGGAAUGGCCAGUAAUGGCAGGGAACGCGGUGGAUCGAAACAUCCUAGUAACCGCAGGAAAAGAAAUCAAACGAGAUGCCGUUAGUAAAGGCGAUCGAAACCGGCACAGAGCAAACUGAAUCCGCUCCAGAAAUGGAGUGGAGAUGUGGUGUUGAGGGCUCGGAUACUUCUUAAUCGAACAAUCAGAAAUCUGCUGGAACGCAGGACCAUAGAGGGUGAUAGUCCCGUAUGAAUAAUCCGAAAAGAAGAUUUUCGAUGUACCCAGAGUAACGUGCGUUGGAUAUCGCGCGUGAAGCAGGGAAACAUUCAUUUCCAACUCUAAAUACGUCUCGAGACCGAUAGCGCAAUAGUAGCGUGAGUGAAAGCUGAAAAGUACCCUUGACGGGAGGUUAAAAGAGCCUGAAACCAGUCGGUUAUAUUUUGAUAGGGCAUGAAAGGGAUGAUGUCGUAAGACGUACCAGUGUCCUAUCGUCCGUUUCGAAUAACGGGCCAUGGAGUUCUGUUCAGUGGCGAGGCUAAGAGUUAAAAACUCGGAGCCGAAGGGAAACCAACAAGUCCGCAACCCGCAAGGGUGAGGGACGAGGUGCGCUCGCCUGGAGUCACUGGAGGGAUACCCGAAGCCAGUUGAUCUAUGCCUGGGUAGGUUGAAGCCUUUCGAAAGGAAGGUGGAGGACCGAACCGCUAAUGAUGUGCAAAUCUUUCGGAUGACCUGGGCAUAGGGAUGAAAGGUCAAUCAAAGCUGGAAAUAGCUGGUUCCUCCUGAAACUAAUCGCAGUUAGACCUCUGUCGAGAUCGGUCAUGCGGUAGAGCACUGAUUGGGAGCUUAGGCGGCGAAAGUCGUCGGCAUCCUUUCAAACUCCGAACAUGUGACCAUCGUAGAAGCAGGGAGUGAGGGCCUCUGGGGUAAUCUUGGGGUCCAUCAGGGAAUGCAACCCAGCCAACAAUUAAGGUCCCUAAAUUUCGGUUAAGUGUAAUGAGAAAAGGCGUCCGCAGUCCAAGACAACUGGGAGGUGAGCUUAGAAGCAGCCAUCCUUUAAAGAAAGCGUAACAGCUCACCAGUCGAGAUUGCGGGCCCUGAAAAUGGACGGGGCUAAACCGAAUACCGAUAUUGUUGAGCACCGAAAGGUGAUCUGGUAAGGAGGUGACGUGCGUGGGUAGAAGCUAGGCCGUGAGGUCUGGUGGACCGCGCUCGUAUAAGGAUCAUGGUGGGAGUAGCAGCAAAGAACGGUGAGAAUCCGUUCCGCCGUAGGGGCCAGGGUUCCUCGGCAAUGUUCGUCAGCCGAGGGUUAGUCGAUCCUAAACUGUUACUUAAUCGGAAGCAGUGAAAGGGAAGCAGGUUAAUAUUCCUGCACCAGGCCAAAUUCUGUCUAGUCGUUGACACAUCGGGAUAAAUCGAGCAGCCUAGUCUAGCUGUUCAAGUAUAUAAGCUGGAGAAGAACCGUAAUGGUGAGAACCUGGCGAAAGUACGAGUAGGAGGGUGUAAACCCGCUUCGGUCUAUUCCUGGUGUCCAUGAAAAUACGGCUAGAGUCAUCUGUCCUGUUCGUACCAAGAACUGACACAGGUGCCCCUAGAUGAGAAGUCUAAGGCGUGUCGGCGAAAAUCCAUGCGAGGGAACUCGGCAAAUUAGCCCUGUACCUUCGGUAGAAAGGGUGCCAGCCAUGAAAAUGGCUGGUCGCAGUAACAAGGGAGCUCCGACUGUUUAAUAAAAACACAGGUCACAGCAAGUCCGAAAGGAUGUGUAUUGUGGCUGAAGCCUGCCCAGUGACGGUAUCUGAAACUCGGGUUCAACCGAACGAAGGACCGUUAAACGGCGGGGGUAACUAUGACCCUCUUAAGGUAGCGUAAUACCUUGUCGCUUAAUUGGCGACUUGCAUGAAGGCCCAACGAGAGCUCUACUGUCCCCGCAUGGAAGCCGGUGAAACCAACAUUACUGGCGCACAGUCCAGUAUCUUCCACCUGAAAGCGAAGACCCCAUGGAGCUUUACUGCAGCCUGUUGCUGUGGUACGAAUUUGAUUGUGUAGGGUAGACGGGAGACGUUACCCAGGAUCGGCCGCUAGGUCGACUCCGAGUCGACGAUGAAACACCGUUCUUUUGGAUUUGUAUCACUUACUUCGUAAGAAGGACACCUAUAGGUGGGCAGUUUGGGUGGGGCGCCACGCGCUCACAAAGGUAACAAGCGCGCCCAAAGGUCAGCUCAGGCAGGUCAGAAAUCUGCCGGUGAAUGUAAGGGUAAAAGCUGGCUUGACGUCGAUUCGGACAACAAGAAUCGGCGAUACGAAAGUAGGGCCUAGCGAACCAAUCAACCUUCUGAAUGGGGGUGAUUGAUGACAGAAAAGUUACCCUGGGGAUAACUGAGUCGUCGCCAGCAAGAGUUCAUAUCGACCUGGCGGCUUGCUACUUCGCUGUCGGCUCUCCCUAUCCUGGCGGUGCAGCAGCUGCCAAGGGUGGGGUUGUUCGCCCAUUAAAAGGGAUCGUGAGCUGGGUUUAGACCGUCGUGAGACAGGUUUGUUGCUUUUUGGUGGAAGUGUUUUGAUGCCUGACGGGAAGGACCCUUUAGUACGAGAGGAACGGGGGUCCGGGGCCUCUAGUUCAUCAGUUGUCUGACAAGGCACCGCUGAGCAGCCACGCCCUCAUGGAUAAGAGCUGAAAGCAUCUAAGCUCGAAGCCACCCUGGAAAAGAGGCAUCUUAGGACGCUCGUAGAUGACGAGCUUGAUAGGACCGGGAUGUAAGUAC